GACUACAAGGGUAUCUAAGCCUGUUUGCUCCCCACGCUUUCGCUCCUCAGCGUCAGUUAAUGUCCAGAGAACCGCCUUCGCCACUGGUGUUCCUCCUGAUAUCUGCGCAUUCCACCGCUCCACCAGGAAUUCCGUUCUCCCCUACAUUCCUCAAGUCUGCCCGUAUCGAAAGCCGGCUCGGGGUUGAGCCCCGAGUUUUCACUUCCGACGCGACAGACCGCCUACGAGCUCUUUACGCCCAAUAAUUCCGGACAACGCUCGCACCCUACGUAUCACCGCGGCUGCUGGCACGUAGUUAGCCGGUGCUUCUUCUGCAGGUACCGUCAGUUUCGUCCCUGCUGAAAGCGGUUUACAACCCGAAGGCCGUCAUCCCGCACGCGGCGUUGCUGCGUCAGGCUUUCGCCCAUUGCGCAAUAUUCCCCACUGCUGCCGCCCGUAGG
rnacentral:rRNA from 1 species